rnacentral:rRNA from 1 species
GACGAACGCUGGCGGCGUGCUUAACACAUGCAAGUCGAACGGAAAGGCCCUGCUUGCAGGGUACUCGAGUGGCGAACGGGUGAGUAACACGUGGGUGAUCUGCCCUGCACUUCGGGAUAAGCCUGGGAAACUGGGUCUAAUACCGGAUAGGAGCCAUUUUUAGUGUGAUGGUUGGAAAGUUUUUUCGGUGUAGGAUGAGCUCGCGGCCUAUCAGCUUGUUGGUGGGGUAAUGGCCUACCAAGGCGGCGACGGGUAGCCGGCCUGAGAGGGUGGACGGCCACAUUAGGACUGUGAGACGGGCCGGACUCCUACGGGAGGCAGCAGGGGGGAAUAUUGCACAAUGGGCGGAAGCGUGAUGCAUCGACGUCGCGUGGUGGUUGACGGCCGUCGGGUUGUAAGCUCCUUUCGCUAGGGACGAAGCUUUUUGUGAAGGUUCCUAGAUAAGAAGCACCGGCUUAAUACGUG